AUGGAGGAGCAGCUCAACCAGUUCGUGCGGCUCUGGGAAGAAGUGCAAUUGAUGCAUCUCACGGACGGCAAAGACCAGAUCUGCUGGGACCUAACUGCAAACCAGCGCUACUCAGCAGCCUCUGCUUAUGACAUACAAUUUGUGGCAAGAGUGGUCAAACCUGAUCUGGCCAAAAUAUGGAAGAGAACUGGACCGCCGAUCGCCUUGCAAGCAAGGGGAUGGCCACAUAAUGCAAUGUGUGCUCUGUGUGACCAAGAAAAUGAGACGGCGGAUCACAUCACCCUAGGCUGCUGUUUUGCCAAAGAGGUCUGGAUGCAGUUUCAAGGAGGUACUGGGAGAAUGGCAAUAAGGGCUCCGUCGGCUGCAACCAUUAGGGAAUGGUGGACCAGCCUUUGUGAAGGCAGGGGGACAAAGGAGAGGAAUAAGGAGCAAAUCACGUUAGCGGCUUAG
rnacentral:rRNA from 1 species